GCGGAAAAGCGGCAGGGGGGAAAACCUGGUGGCCGGCCUGAGAGGGCGACCGGCCACACUGGGACUGAGACACGGCCCAGACUCCUACGGGAGGCAGCAGUGGGGAAUAUUGCACAAUGGGCGAAAGCCUGAUGCAGCGACGCCGCGUGAGGGAUGACGGCCUUCGGGUUGUAAACCUCUUUCAGCAGGGAAGAAGCGAAAGUGACGGUACCUGCAGAAGAAGCGCCGGCUAACUACGUGCCAGCAGCCGCGGUAAUACGUAGGGCGCAAGCGUUGUCCGGAAUUAUUGGGCGUAAAGAGCUCGUAGGCGGCUUGUCACGUCGGUUGUGAAAGCCCGGGGCUUAACCCCGGGUCUGCAGUCGAUACGGGCAGGCUAGAGUGUGGUAGGGGAGAUCGGAAUUCCUGGUGUAGCGGUGAAAUGCGCAGAUAUCAGGAGGAACACCGGUGGCGAAGGCGGAUCUCUGGGCCAUUACUGACGCUGAGGAGCGAAAGCGUGGGGAGCGAACAGGAUUAGAUACCCUGGUAGUCCACGCCGUAAACGUUGGGAACUAGGUGUUGGCGACAUUCCACGUCGUCGGUGCCGCAGCUAACGCAUUAAGUUCCCCGCCUGGGGAGGUACGGG
rnacentral:rRNA from 1 species